GGUGGCCAUGGUGAGCGGUGGGCGGUCAUGGGGUGUCGCGCAAGCGCCGCAGGAUAGCGUCUGCCUCGCGCGGGUUCCGUGCCUCGAGCCACUGC
rnacentral:tRNA from 1 species